rnacentral:rRNA from 1 species
UGGGGAAUUUUGGACAAUGGGCGAAAGCCUGAUCCAGCAAUGCCGCGUGUGUGAAGAAGGCCUUCGGGUUGUAAAGCACUUUUGUCCGGAAAGAAAUCCUUGGCUCUAAUACAGUCGGGGGAUGACGGUACCGGAAGAAUAAGCACCGGCUAACUACGUGCCAGCAGCCGCGGUAAUACGUAGGGUGCAAGCGUUAAUCGGAAUUACUGGGCGUAAAGCGUGCGCAGGCGGUUUGCUAAGACCGAUGUGAAAUCCCGGGCUCAACCUGGGAACUGCAUUGGUGACUGGCAGGCUAGAGUAUGGCAGAGGGGGGUUAGAAUUCCACGUGUAGCAGUGAAAUGCGUAGAGAUGUGGAGGAAUACCGAUGGCGAAGGCAGCCCCCUGGGCCAAUACUGACGCUCAUGCACGAAAGCGUGGGGGAGCAAAACAGGAUUAGAUACCCUGGUAGUCCACGCCCUAAACGAUGUCAACUAGUUGUUGGGGAUUCAUUUCCUUAGUAACGUAGCUAACGCGUGAAGUUGACCGCCUGGGGAGUACGGUCGCAAGAUUAAAACUUAAAGGAA